rnacentral:lncRNA from 1 species
AAAUCCAAUCUUUAUCAAAAAGAAUGGAUAAAUAGAUAAAUUGGCAUAUGGGUAUUGUAAUAGAUGAAGAAAGAAAUGAUAAAAAUAAUGAUAAAAUAAAAGGGUAGAGAGAGAAAGGGGACUGCAACUCCGAUGAGGCGGAGGUGCCUAUAUAUAUAUUGUAGUAUGUAUUCUAUGAUCUACAUUCGUCAGAGUCGAUAAAUCCGCUUCCCUCUCUCAAACAUGCUCUGUCUCGUGUAGCUUUCAUUGACCCUUUAUAAUUCAAACUAGUGAAAAAAGCCGCGCUUCGCGGCGGCUUGAUAAAUUUUGAUAUGAAUCAGUAUUAUAAUAGCAUAAAAAUUAUUUUGAAUCAUCUUCCCAUUAAACAUAUCACAAAUAAAAAAUAUUAUAAUUGGUAUAAAAAUUUGUUUAAAUGGUCAUCCUGUCAAACACAAUACUAAUAAUAAAAUUAGUUCGAACCACCCUCCCGUCAAAGACAAUAUUAAUCCAUAUUUAUUAUUUUUAUGAUAAAAUUAAAUACUAUAAUUUAGAUCAAAAUUAGUUUGAGCCGCUCUCUUAUCAAACACAAUACCAAUAACAAAACAUUAUAAUAUAGAUAUUAUUUUGAGUCGCCUUACUGUCAAACACAUACUAAUAAAAAUUAUUCUAAUUAUGAUAAAAUUAAAGAUUAUAAUUUGAUAAAAAGUAUUUUAAACUGUGGUCUCGUUUUAACAAAAAUAUAUAUUAUAACAUAGAUAAAAAACUAUUUUAGCCACUUUCCCGUCAAACAUUAUACUAAUAGAAAAAUUAUUAUUAUUUAGAUAAAAAUUAGUUUGGGCCGCCUCCCGUGCCCGUCAAACACAAUACUGAUCAACAUUAUCAUAAAAUCAAUAUAUGAUUCCUAUUUUAUAUGUAUUAUUUUANAACAUAUCAACAAAUAAUGGAUAGCUUUUUUAUAUACCGCAGAUCUUGAUGGGGGCUUCAAGCUCCAACAAAUUAGGCUGUUGGAGGAAAAUUUCUCGAGCUGCGGCGCAGAGUUGUCGGAUAUCAUUCUCAGAAAGUUGAACCUGCCUGGCAGUCCUGGCCUGCCGGAACUCCAAGAGCCUAUUGAUAAUAUCAUCAAGAACAGCAGGGUCAAUCCCCUGCUCAUUUUGGGCCAUAGAUCUUCUUCACCCAAUUAGCAGCUUAGGGUUUCAAGAAACACAAAGAAACCCUAAAAGAUGCAAACUUUUUCAAUCUCUAGCUACAAAAAUGAGUUGGGUAUUGACAAAAAUCCAAUCUUUAUCAAAAAGAAUGGAUAAAUAGAUAAAUUGGCAUAUGGGUAUUGUAAUAGAUGAAGAAAGAAAUGAUAAAAAUAAUGAUAAAAUAAAAGGGUAGAGAGAGAAAGGGGACUGCAACUCCGAUGAGGCGGAGGUGCCUAUAUAUAUAUUGUAGUAUGUAUUCUAUGAUCUACAUUCGUCAGAGUCGAUAAAUCCGCUUCCCUCUCUCAAACAUGCUCUGUCUCGUGUAGCUUUCAUUGACC